rnacentral:rRNA from 1 species
CGGAGAGUUUGAUCCUGGCUCAGGACGAACGCUGGCGGCAUGCCUAAUACAUGCAAGUCGAACGAGCUUCCGUUGAAUGACGUGCUUGCACUGAUUUCAACAAUGAAGCGAGUGGCGAACUGGUGAGUAACACGUGGGGAAUCUGCCCAGAAGCAGGGGAUAACACUUGGAAACAGGUGCUAAUACCGUAUAACAACAAAAUCCGCAUGGAUCUUGUUUGAAAGGUGGCUUCGGCUAUCACUUCUGGAUGAUCCCGCGGCGUAUUAGUUAGUUGGUGAGGUAAAGGCCCACCAAGACGAUGAUACGUAGCCGACCUGAGAGGGUAAUCGGCCACAUUGGGACUGAGACACGGCCCAAACUCCUACGGGAGGCAGCAGUAGGGAAUCUUCCACAAUGGACGAAAGUCUGAUGGAGCAACGCCGCGUGAGUGAAGAAGGGUUUCGGCUCGUAAAACUCUGUUGUUAAAGAAGAACAUAUCUGAGAGUAACUGUUCAGGUAUUGACGGUAUUUAACCAGAAAGCCACGGCUAACUACGUGCCAGCAGCCGCGGUAAUACGUAGGUGGCAAGCGUUGUCCGGAUUUAUUGGGCGUAAAGCGAGCGCAGGCGGUUUUUUAAGUCUGAUGUGAAAGCCUUCGGCUCAACCGAAGAAGUGCAUCGGAAACUGGGAAACUUGAGUGCAGAAGAGGACAGUGGAACUCCAUGUGUAGCGGUGAAAUGCGUAGAUAUAUGGAAGAACACCAGUGGCGAAGGCGGCUGUCUGGUCUGUAACUGACGCUGAGGCUCGAAAGUAUGGGUAGCAAACAGGAUUAGAUACCCUGGUAGUCCAUACCGUAAACGAUGAAUGCUAAGUGUUGG